rnacentral:rRNA from 1 species
ACGCUGGCGGCGUGCUUACACAUGCAAGUCGCACGAGNAACGCUUCAGCUUGCUGAAGCUAGUAAAGUGGCGCACGGGUGAGUAACGCGUGGGUAAUCUACCUCCAAAUUGGGGAUAACAUUGCGAAAGCGAUGCUAAUACCGAAUAAUAUCUCAAAUACUUCGGUUUUUAAGAUCAAAGGUGGCCUCUCCAUGGAAGCUACUGUUAGGAGAUGAGCCCGCGUACCAUUAGCUUGUUGGUAGGGUAAUGGCCUACCAAGGCAACGAUGGUUAGCUGGUCUGAGAGGAUGAUCAGCCACACUGGAACUGACACACGGUCCAGACUCCUACGGGAGGCAGCAGUGAGGAAUUUUGCGCAAUGGGGGAAACCCUGACGCAGCAACGCCGCGUGAGUGAUGAAGGCCUUCGGGUCGUAAAGCUCUGUCAAGUGAGAAGAACCUGCCUUGUGCUAAUAUCACCGGGCACUGACGGUAUCACUGAAGGAAGCACCGGCUAACUCCGUGCCAGCAGCCGCGGUAACACGGGGGGUGCAAGCGUUAUUCGGAAUCACUGGGCGUAAAGAGCGCGUAGGCGGUCUCUUAAGUCAGAUGUGAAAGCCCGGGGCUCAACCCCGGAAGUGCAUUUGAAACGAAGGGACUUGAGUAUGGGAGAGGGAAGUGGAAUUCCUGGUGUAGCGGUGAAAUGCGUAGAUAUCAGGAGGAACACCGGUGGCGAUGGCGACUUCCUGGACCAAUACUGACGCUGAGGCGCGAAGGCGUGGGGAGCAAACAGGAUUAGAUACCCUGGUAGUCCACGCAGUAAACGUUGAACACUAGGUGUAGCGGGUAUUGGACCCUGCUGUGCCGCAGCUAACGCAU